AUACGUAGGGUGCAAGCGUUAAUCGGAAUUACUGGGCGUAAAGCGUGCGCAGGCGGUUUUGUAAGACAGAGGUUGAAUUCCCGGGGUCAACAUGGGAACUGCCUUUGUGACUGCAAGGCCAGAUUACGGCAGCGGGGGAUGGCAUUCCUCGUGUAGGAGUUAAAUGCGUAGGUAUGCGGAGGAACACAGAUGGCGAAUAUAGAAUCCUACGCCUGUAAUGAAGCUCUUGCACCAAUGCGUACGGGGCAAUCAUUAUUUGAGUCCGUUGGAGUACACCCACUACGAGUUGUCAACUUGUGGUUAGGCCUUUCUUGAUGCAGUGACUAAGCAAAUGGGUGAAUUCUCCAGACUGGGGAGUACUGCCGCAAGGUGGAAACUCAAAUGAAUUGACGGGU
rnacentral:rRNA from 1 species